rnacentral:rRNA from 1 species
UACGUAGGCAGCGAGCGUUGUUCGGAAUUACUGGGCGUAAAGAGUGUGUAGGCGGUGCUCUAAGUUCGGUGUGAAAUCUCCUGCUUAACUGGGAGGGUGCGCCGGAAACUGGAGUGCUUGAGCGUGGGAGAGGAAAGCGGAAUUCCUGGUGUAGCGGUGAAAUGCGUAGAUAUCAGGAGGAACACCUGUGGUGUAGACGGCUUUCUGGACCAUUGCUGACGCUGAGACACGAAAGCGUGGGUAGCAACAGG